UACGAAGGGGGCUAGCGUUGUUCGGAUUUACUGGGCGUAAAGCGCACGUAGGCGGCUCGUUAAGUCGGGGGUGAAAUUCUGGAGCUCAACUCCAGAACUGCCUUCGAUACUGGCGAUCUUGAGUCCGGAAGAGGUGAGUGGAACUCCUAGUGUAGAGGUGGAAUUCGUAGAUAUUAGGAAGAACACCAGUGGCGAAGGCGGCUCACUGGUCCGGUACUGACGCUGAGGUGCGAAAGCGUGGGGAGCAAACAGG
rnacentral:rRNA from 1 species